GUCCCGGUAGCUCAGCAGGUAGAGCACAUGACUGUUAAUCAUGGGGUCGUAGGUUCGAGUCCUACCCGGGACG
rnacentral:tRNA from 1 species